rnacentral:rRNA from 1 species
UAGCCGUAAACGAUACUCGCUAGGUGUCGGCCACGGUGCGACCGUUGUCGGUGCCGUAGGGAAGCCGUGAAGCGAGCCACCUGGGAAGUACGGCCGCAAGGCUGAAACUUAAAGGAAUUGGCGGGGGAGCACAACAACGGGUGGAGCUUGCGGUUUAAUUGGAUUCAACGCCGGAAAUCUUACCGGGACCGACAGCAACAUGAAGGCCAAGCUGAAGACUUUGCCGGAUUAGCUGAGAGGAGGGCAUGGCGUAGUCGUGU